GGAAACUGCCUGAUGGAGGGGGAUAACUACUGGAAACGGUAGCUAAUACCGCAUAACGUCGCAAGACCAAAGUGGGGGACCUUCGGGCCUCAUGCCAUCAGAUGUGCCCAGAUGGGAUUAGCUGGUAGGUGGGGUAACGGCUCACCUAGGCGACGAUCCCUAGCUGGUCUGAGAGGAUGACCAGCCACACUGGAACUGAGACACGGUCCAGACUCCUACGGGAGGCAGCAGUGGGGAAUAUUGCACAAUGGGCGCAAGCCUGAUGCAGCCAUGCCGCGUGUGUGAAGAAGGCCUUCGGGUUGUAAAGCACUUUCAGCGGGGAGGAAGGCGAUGAGGUUAAUAACCUCGUCGAUUGACGUUACCCGCAGAAGAAGCACCGGCUAACUCCGUGCCAGCAGCCGCGGUAAUACGGAGGGUGCAAGCGUUAAUCGGAAUUACUGGGGCGUAAAGCGCACGCAGGCGGUCUGUCAAGUCGGAUGUGAAAUCCCCGGGCUCAACCUGGGAACUGCAUUCGAAACUGGCAGGCUAGAGUCUUGUAGAGGGGGGUAGAAUUCCAGGUGUAGCGGUGAAAUGCGUAGAGAUCUGGAGGAAUACCGGUGGCGAAGGCGGCCCCCCUGGACAAAGACUGACGCUCAGGUGCGAAAGCGUGGGGAGCAAACAGGAUUAGAUACCCUGGUAGUCCACGCUGUAAACGAUGUCGAUUUGGAGGUUGUGCCCUUGAGGCGUGGCUUCCGGAGCUAACGCGUUAAAUCGACCGCCUGGGGAGUACGGCCGCAAGGUUAAAACUCAAAUGAAUUGACGGGGGCCCGCACAAGCGGUGGAGCAUGUGGUUUAAUUCGAUGCAACGCGAAGAACCUUACCUGGUCUUGACAUCCACAGAACUUUCCAGAGAUGGAUUGGUGCCUUCGGGAACUGUGAGACAGGUGCUGCAUGGCUGUCGUCAGCUCGUGUUGUGAAAUGUUGGGUUAAGUCCCGCAACGAGCGCAACCCUUAUCCUUUGUUG
rnacentral:rRNA from 1 species